rnacentral:rRNA from 1 species
UACGUAGGGUGCAAGCGUUGUCCGGAAUUAUUGGGCGUAAAGAGCUCGUAGGCGGUCUGUCGCGUCUGCUGUGAAAACCUGGGGCUUAACCCCGGGCCUGCAGUGGGUACGGGCAGACUAGAGUGUGGUAGGGGAGACUGGAAUUCCUGGUGUAGCGGUGAAAUGCGUAGAGAUCGGGAGGAACACCAGCGGCGAAGGCGGCGCCCUGGCUCGCAACUGACGCUCAGACACGACAGCAUGGGGAGCGAACGGG